rnacentral:rRNA from 1 species
GACAGCAGUAGCCGCGGUAAUACAGAGGGUGCGAGCGUUAAUCGGAUUUACUGGGCGUAAAGCGUGCGUAGGCGGCUUCUUAAGUCGGAUGUGAAAUCCCUGAGCUUAACUUAGGAAUUGCAUUCGAUACUGGGAAGCUAGAGUAUGGGAGAGGAUGGUAGAAUUCCAGGUGUAGCGGUGAAAUGCGUAGAGAUCUGGAGGAAUACCGAUGGCGAAGGCAGCCAUCUGGCCUAAUACUGACGCUGAGGUACGAAAGCAUGGGGAGCAAACAGGAUUAGAUACCCGCGUAGUCCCUGUCUCUUAUAC